UUGACCAGGAUUUUUAAGAUCAUAUUUGUUGCAUUUAAAAGAAAAGUCUAUGCACAGUGAAUAUUAUGCUAAAUAGUGGUGGAAACUCUUACUGUAGAUACAAUUAAGUCAAUUGAGUAAGUGUUAUAUACCAUUGAAGUCUAUUUCCUUAUACCUGUUGACUUAGUGGAUGUAAAUAUUUUUUUAUCAUCAUACAGUUUUGCUUUUGUAUUUUCAUUAGAAUUCUAGACAUUAUAGAAUCAAUGUCAGUUUGAAUAUAAAGCAUUUCCUUGCCUUGUAACGUCAAGAUGCAGAAAGGAUGUCUAGAAUAAAUGAGCUGCAUAAUACUCAAAGUGUUAAAAUCAGUAGAAUUUUGCCACAGAAAUCAUGUCAAUUUUUUUUAAACUAAUGUUCAUGUAGACUACAGUGAAAAACUUUCGCUUAUGGAAUUCAUAACUGACAGCCAUCAUUUAUUAUCACCUCCAGUUUUUAUGUGUAAAUCAAGUGGUUCAGUAUGUUUUAGGUUUAUGAACAUUUGUGUGAUUUCAUGGGUGACUUCAAGGUCAUAAGCAGCAAGUGAAAAGUACCCUUUUGAAUGAAUGUAAAAAAUGUGAAGAAAAUGAGAGACAAAACCAUUGUUGGUGAACACUGUUUCUAUUCUAAGAACACUGUUUCUAUUCUAAGCAAAUGAAGGUGGACUUCUACUUACUCAUUUAAGUGCUAGCUCACAAUUUUCAUGGUUUUGAAUUCUACCAGUUUUGCAUAUAUUAAAUAUUUAAUCAAUGAAUAUCUUGUUCUUUGGUUAAAUGGUGUUCCUGUCCCAGCCUGUUUUCAAUUUUAUAUUUGUACUUUUAAUUUAUUUUUUUAAAUUUUACCUACAGUAAAAUUCACUAUCGUGCAGAUAUAUGUGUAUUUUGACAAGUGUAUAGAAUAGUAUAUCUAACACCACAAAUAUGAUAUGGAGGAGUUCCAUUAUCCAUAAAAACCCUUUUCAUUUUACUCCUUUCUAGUCAGCCCCUCAUUCUACCCUAUAAUCUCUUGUGACCACUAUUUUUAUAGUUUUGCCUUUAACAAAAUGUCAUUUAAAUGGAAUCUAACAUUACAUAACCUCUGAGGUCCAGCUCCUUGUACCAAGCAUUUUGGGUCCCCCAGUUCACUAGCAAGCAUUUAUCCUUCAAAGACCUAUGCGAGCCAAUUAAUGGACUCCUAAGAUAAUUAAUUGCAUUCUGUUUUGAAUAAAAAUCGGCUAUGGUUAUUCUAUCUCAGUCCUCUUAUGUCUUGAUCUUCUGAUGUUCUUUUCCAUUUUGUUCUAUUUUAUAAUUUCCAUAUCUUAUGAAACUUUUUGACUGUUUUUUAAUUUUUAAAAUUGUUCCAUUAGCUUUUAUAUGUUGUAUUAGAUUUUCAAAGUUCUUAUCUCUUACUUCAAAAAUAUAAGUCUUACAACAUCCCUAUUAUGUGUCUUUAAUUUAUGCAUCAAAAAGCAUCUUCAUAAAGGCUUUAUUUGGUAGAAUACAACCUUAGAGUUUCUCAUUCAAAAAGAAAAUUGCUGUUCCACCACUUUACAUAGCAUGGUAGAGAGGACUAUUAAUGAUUUGAAGAAUGAAUAAUACAGAGAGGAAAUAAGUGAAGACAUGAAUGGCAAAGAUGGUUAAGAACCAUCUGUGGUUGAUAGUUGAUGGCUAAGAACAAAUGAUUGUGCUUUAUUUUUAAAUGGAUUUCAUGUAUUCUGGGCUCUAACUUAUAUUAUUUGUGAUGUUUUCCUGCAGGAACAAAGACUGGAUCAAGUAACAUACUUUAGGGAAGAGAGAUGUGCAGCUAUCUGAUGCUUUUAAAUUUCUGUGUGUGUUGUGGCCAGUGAUGUCAGAACAUCACAUUCUCUGGGUUCAUUAUUUCAAAAGUCUAAGGUAGAAUAUUUUGAUAAUAGGUUUCUUUUCCCCAUAAAUGUGCCUACUUUGUUAAAUGAAUAUUCAUUAUUACUUCUCUCCUUCAUUAAAUUAAAAAAGUCUCUUCUGGAAGUAACCUGUAUAAUUUCUGGGAAUCAUUGAUGUAUUUCCUUUUUGUACUAUUUUAUAGUGUAUGCAAGUAAUCUGGUAAAGAAAAUGAAAUGCACCAAAAUAUUCCUUUAUUUAUCUUUUUAUUAUUGGCAAGUCCAGAAUAUAAAUGUUUCAACUCCUAUUCUACUGUAAUCAUACCUUAUUUGCUACCACAUUUAUGAAUGCAUCCCCAUUUCUCCUUGAAAUUUUAUUUGACUAUUUUAAAAAUUUUCCCAAUUGAUUUUGUGUCAUUUUAUUAGAAAAUCCAAGGUUAUAUGCUUCUAUUUUGUGUCAUUUUAUUAGAAAAUCCAAGGUUAUAUGCUUUUGUUCUAUGUACAUAAGAGUUCCAUUAUUCAGAUACUAAAUAAAACAUCUCUUGUGCAUUUACUAGUUUUUAUAAUGCAGUAGAUAAGCCUGAAGAAAAUAAGCCUGGCUAUGGAAAUGCUUAUUUGUUUGAGAGGAUGUUUGUCUGGAUCAAUGAUGAGCACAAUUGUCUGAGGAUGCUGAGGGACUCAUUCCAGAUGUCAAUCUGAGGUCCAGAUGAGUGGCCCUCUGCUAGGACAAAUAAGACUCUCAAAGCCUGGCUGUAUUUGAUGACUUUAAGUUAAAAAAACAAUACUGCUGUGAGCAUGCCUUUUAUUUCUCUUGGAGCAAGGUGUUAGCCUCCUAUCUCAUGAGGCAGUAUGCAACUUUAGAUGGGAUGGAAUGAAAUCCUCCACUUCAGAGAAGAGCAAGAGAGUGAGCUCAAGGAGGAGAAGUGGCAGGUAGAGGGAGAGGGAGAAGCAGACUCCCUGCUGAGCAGGGAGCCCAACAUGGGGCUCAAUCCCAGCACUCUGGGAUCAUGACCUGAGACAAAGGCAGAUGCUUGGUUAAGCCAUCUGAGCCAUCUGUGAAUCCCCAUUAUGUGUCAUUUUCUUUGGUGAGUGUCUUCACCCUCCUUUCCAAAUUUUAAAUUUUAUUUUAUGAGUUCUGUAUGGAUUUACAGUUGUAGAACUUUGGAGAAUUUAUUGAUUUUAGUUUUAUAUUGCAGUGAAAUAUUCUUUUAUGAAAUUAAGCUACAAUUGGAGUUCCUUAAAAUUGUGAUAGUUUCAUAAUGUUGACUCCAUGAUUAAGAUUAUGAUAGAUGAUGGAACUAGAUCGUAUCAUGCUUAGUGAAACAAGUCAAGCAGAGAAAGACAACUAUCAUAUGAUCUCCCUGAUAUGAGGAAGUGGUGAUGCAACAUGGGGGCUUAAGUGGGUAGGAGAAGAAUAAAUGAAACAAGAUUGGAUUGGGAGGGAGACAAACCAUAAGUGACUCUUAAUCUCACAAAACAA